rnacentral:rRNA from 1 species
UACGGAGGGAGCUAGCGUUGUUCGGAAUUACUGGGCGUAAAGCGUGCGCAGGCGGUGAUGUAAGACAGAUGUGAAAUCCCCGGGCUCAACCUGGGAACUGCAUUUGUGACUGCAUCGCUGGAGUGCGGCAGAGGGGGAUGGAAUUCCGCGUGUAGCAGUGAAAUGCGUAGAUAUGCGGAGGAACACCGAUGGCGAAGGCAAUCCCCUGGGCCUGCACUGACGCUCAUGCACGAAAGCGUGGGGAGCAAACAGG